rnacentral:rRNA from 1 species
AACUUAGCAGAGAUGCUUUGGUGCCUUCGGGAACUCUGAGACAGGUGCUGCAUGGCUGUCGUCAGCUCGUGUUGUGAAAUGUUGGGGUUAAGUCCCGCAACGAGCGCAACCCUUAUCCUUUGUUGCCAGCGGUCCGGCCGGGAACUCAAAGGAGACUGCCAGUGAUAAACUGGAGGAAGGUGGGGAUGACGUCAAGUCAUCAUGGCCCUUACGAGUAGGGCUACACACGUGCUACGAUGGCGCAUACAAAGAGAAGCGACCUCGCGAGAGCAAGCGGACCUCAUAAAGUGCGUCGUAGUCCGGAUUGGAGUCUGCAACUCGACUCCAUGAAGUCGGAAUCGCUAGUAAUCGUAGAUCAGAAUGCUACGGUGAAUACGUUCCCGGGCCUUGUACACACCGCCCGUCACACCAUGGGAGUGGGUUGCAAAAGAAGUAGGUAGCUUAACCUUCGGGAGGGCGCUUACCACUUUGUGAUUCAUGACUGGGGGUGAAGUCGUAACAAGGUAGGCGUAGACGU